rnacentral:rRNA from 1 species
GCCGCAGUUUCCUGUGCUAAGGUAGCGCAAUAACUUGCCUUCUAAUUAAAGGAUCGUAUGAAAGGACACAUGACUUUCUUAUUUUCUCAUAUAUUUUCAAUAAACUUAACCUACAAGUAAAAAGACUUGUAUUAACAAGAAAGACGACAAGACCCUAUAGAACUUCACUAUUGUUAAACUGGGGUGGUCAACAACAAAAGCUUAUCUUCCUUAACCACACAAAGACCUGAAACUUUCAACAAAAGAACAAGUUACCUUAGGGAUAACAGAGUAAUUCCUCUCUAGACCUGUUCCAAAGAGGAGCUUUCUACCUCGAUGUUGAAUUUAAUAUUACUUCAUAAAUAAACAUUAUACAAGUAGGUCUGUUCGACCUUUAAAAUAUUACAUGAU